CACCUCUAGCAUUACCAGUAUUAGAGGCACUGCCUGCCCAGUGACAUUAGUUUAACGGCCGCGGUAUCCUGACCGUGCAAAGGUAGCAUAAUCAUUUGUUCCUUAAUUAGGGACUUGUAUGAAUGGCCCCACGAGGGUUUAACUGUCUCUUACUUUUAAUCAGUGAAAUUGACCUUCCCGUGAAGAGGCGGGAAUACAAAAAUAAGACGAGAAGACCCUAUGGAGCUUAAAUUAAAGUGUCCAACAAAAUUUAAACUUAAUCCAAUAGGAAUAACAACAUUUUAACUGGGCAACAAAUUUUGGUUGGGGUGACCUCGGAGCAUAACAAAACCUCCGAGCGAUUAUAACCAAGACUUACCCGUCAAGGUGACAUAAUUUAUUGAUCCAAUCAUAUUGAUCAACGAAACAAGUUACCCUAGGGAUAACAGCGCAAUCCUAUUUAAGAGUUCAUAUCGACAAUAGGGUUUACGACCUCGAUGUUGGAUCAGGACCCCCAAAUGGUGCAGCAGCUAUUAAAGGUUCGUUUGUUCAACG
rnacentral:rRNA from 1 species